GUCUUUAAAACUACCAAGUGAAGAAUGAAAACGCACCUGAUCUUGUCUGAUCUUGGAAGCUAAGCAGGGUCGGGCCUGGUUAGUACUUGGAUGGGAGACCACCUGGGAAUACCAGGUGCUGUAGGCU
ensembl:rRNA 5S_rRNA 5S ribosomal RNA